AUGCUCCCCUCAAUUCGAGCUCGGAAACGAUUCACACAAGAUGCGGUGUGCCGUUCGAGGUCGUCGCCAUCACCGGAGGCAAGGCAAGAGCUAUUGCGGGUAGCACCGCUUGUGUCCGGCGCGCCUAUGCUCGAGCCUAAGCUGUGGCAGCUGCUCCAUGCCGUUGUUCCCCGCCAAACAACAUCGUGUGCGGGGGCGGUCAGCUGGUACCUCGAGAUACAGCAGGAGCUCGUGCAGACUCACUUGAAGUUUGGAGCUCAAUGCAAGCUCACAGGCAGAGAUUCAAGGCACAACAACUUACCUAUGCAUGAUGAAGUGCCAGGAGCUGCUUCCAUGCUCGAGAACACAGUGGAUGCAUGCUGA
rnacentral:rRNA from 1 species